GAUGAACGCUGGCGGCGUGCCUAAUACAUGCAAGUCGAGCGAACGGACGAGAAGCUUGCUUCUCUGAUGUUAGCGGCGGACGGGUGAGUAACACGUGGAUAACCUACCUAUAAGACUGGGAUAACUUCGGGAAACCGGAGCUAAUACCGGAUAAUAUUUUGAACCGCAUGGUUCAAAAGUGAAAGACGGUCUUGCUGUCACUUAUAGAUGGAUCCGCGCUGCUUUAGCUAGUUGGUAAGGUAACGGCUUACCAAGGCAACGAUGCAUAGCCGACCUGAGAGGGUGAUCGGCCACACUGGAACUGAGACACGGUCCAGAGUCCUACGGGAGGCAGCAGUAGGGAAUCUGCCGCAAUGGGCGAAAGCCUGACGGAGCAGCGCCGCGUGAGUGAUGAAGGUCUUCGGAUCGUAAAACUCUGUUAUUAGGGAAGAACAUAUGUGUAAGUAACUGUGCACAUCUUGACGGUACCUAAUCAGAAAGCCACGGCUAACUACGUG
rnacentral:rRNA from 1 species